UACGUAGGGUCCGAGCGUUGUCCGGAUUUAUUGGGCGUAAAGAGCUCGUAGGCGGUUCCGUAAGUCAGAUGUGAAAACUCAGGGCUCAACCCGGAGACGCCAUCUGAUACUGCGGUGACUGGAGUCUGGUAGGGGAACACGGAAUUCCUGGUGUAGCGGUGAAAUGCGCAGAUAUCAGGAGGAACACCAGUGGCGAAGGCGGCUUACUGGUCCGGUACUGACGCUGAGGUACGAAAGCGUGGGGAGCAAACAGG
rnacentral:rRNA from 1 species